rnacentral:sRNA from 1 species
AACUGACUCGCUCCUAAGUGAGUUCUGCGUGCUGUGGGCUGAAAAUUGCAUAUAAAAGCCAAUAAUAUAAGUUAUUACCAUGUAAAGAAGCUCAUUUGCCUCUUCUCCACUGCAACAAUAACGGGUCUUUAAUGUAGCAUAAGCAACAACACUAACUAAAUAAAAUAGAAAAACAAAAACUAUGUAAAUAAUCUGCAAAAAAAGAAAAA